UAGACCCGAAACCACAGUGAUCUACCCAUGUCCAGGUUGAAACACAGGUAAAAAUGUGUGGAGGACCGAACCUAUAUCCGUUGAAAAGGGUUAGGAUGAGGUGUGGGUAGGGGUGAAAUUCCAAUCGAACGUGGAGAUAGCUGGUUCUCCCCGAAAUAGCUUUAGGGCUAGCCUCAGGGAAAAGAUUGCAGGCGGUAGAGCACUGAUCAGGAGAGGGACCUACCCGGUUACCAAACCCAGUCAAACUCCGAAUGGCUGCAAUCAUACCUGGGAGUCAGACUGCGACUAAUAAGGGCCGUAGUCAAAAGGGAAACAGCCCAGACCAUCAGCUAAGGUCCCCAAUGCCGUGCUAAGUGGAGAAGGAUGUGGCAUUUCAUAAACAACCAGGAUGUUGGCUCAGAAGCAGCCACCAUUUAAAGAGUGCGUAAUAGCUCACUGGUCGAGAGACGCUGCGCCGAAAAUGUCCGGGGCUCAAGCACGGAACCGAAGCUAUGGCAGACGCAAGUCUGGGUAGGGGAGCGUUCUUAUGAGGAAGAAGCAUGACCGUAAGGACAUGUGGACACAUAAGAAGUGAGAAUGCCGGUAUGAGUAUCGAAAAGAAAGGUGAGAAUCCUUUCCACCGAAAGCCCGAGGGUUCCUGAGCAACGAUCGUCGACUCAGGGUAAGUCGGGACCUAAGCCGAGGCGAAAAGCAUAGGCGAUGGACAACAGGUUGAAAUUCCUGUACCGGAUAAAGUCGAUAUGAGCAAUGGAGUGACGCAGGAGGGUACAUGAUCGCGCGAGUGGAAGAGCGCGUCCAAGUGAGUAUGUAGAUACAGAGGCAAAUCCCUGUAUCUGAAAGCAGAGACAUGAUGGGGAGUUAAAGGAAACUUUGACGAACUGAUGGAUCCCACACUGCCAAGAAAAACUUCUAGCCAGACAAUAUCCGCCCGUACCGUAAACCGACACAGGUAGGCGGGGAGAGAAUCCUAAGGUGCGCGGGAAAACCCUCGUUAAGGAACUCGGCAAAUUGCAUCCGUAACUUCGGGAGAAGGAUGACCCUGAGUAAAAGAAGAGCAGAAACGCUUAGAGGAGAAAAGGGUGGCAGAAAAGAGGCCCAAGCAACUGUUUACCAAAAACACAGGUGCCUGCGAAAGCGAAAGCUGAAGUAUAGGUGCUGACGCCUGCCCGGUGCCGGAAGGUUAAGGAGAGAGGUCAGCUAAGGCGAAGCUUCGAACUGAAGCCCCGGUGAACGGCGGCCGUAACUAUAACGGUCCUAAGGUAGCGAAAUUCCUUGUCGGGU
rnacentral:rRNA from 1 species